rnacentral:lncRNA from 1 species
AUCCUCUUCCACUACGUCGAGAUCCGCCGGUGGCAGGACAUCAAGAACCCAGGGUCCGUCAACCAGGACCCCAUCUUCAAGAGCUACAGCCUCCCCGACCACGACUGCGGAUACCCCGGCAGCGUCUUCAACCCGCUCAACUUCGCCCCCACCCUCGAGAACAAGGAGAAGGAGCUCGCCAACGGUACGUCUUCUUUUAACCCUCGAUAUCUUUUUGAUCGGACGGCCACUACUUGUUUGCUGAAAACAUGAUUGUUUGAUGCUUUUUUGCAGGGAGAUUGGCGAUGCUGGCGUUCCUGGGGUUCCUGGUGCAGCACAACGUGACUGGCAAGGGGCCGUUCGAGAACCUGAUGCAGCACCUGGCUGACCCAUGGCACAACACCAUCAUCCAGACCUUCUCCGGUUAGGUUGCGUAAUCCGUUCGGUAGAUUUCCCGGCCCGAGGAUGUGAAUUUCAGGUGGCUUGGAUUGAUCUUUUGGAGAGCGAAUUCUAUUGGUUCUUCG